GACAUGAAGUUAGGUCAGCAAACCUGCUG
rnacentral:rRNA from 1 species